rnacentral:rRNA from 1 species
UGGGGAAUAUUGGACAAUGGGGGCAACCCUGAUCCAGCCAUGCCGCGUGAGUGAUGAAGGCCUUAGGGUUGUAAAGCUCUUUUGGCAGGGACGAUAAUGACGGUACCUGCGGAAUAAGCCCCGGCUAACUUCGUGCCAGCAGCCGCGGUAAUACGAAGGGGGCAAGCGUUGUUCGGAUUUACUGGGCGUAAAGGGCGCGUAGGCGGGGUAUCCAGUUAGGGGUGAAAGCCCGGGGCUCAACCUCGGAACUGCCUUUAAAACUGAUACUCUAGAGUCCGGAAGAGGGUCGCGGAAUUCCCAGUGUAGAGGUGAAAUUCGUAGAUAUUGGGAAGAACACCGGUGGCGAAGGCGGCGACCUGGUCCGGUACUGACGCUGAGGCGCGAAAGCGUGGGGAGCAAACAGGAUUAGAUACC